rnacentral:rRNA from 1 species
UACGUAGGGGGCAAGCGUUGUCCGGAUUUAUUGGGCGUAAAGAGCUCGUAGGUGGUUUGUUACGUCUGCUGUGAAAACCUAGGGCUUAACCCUGGGCCUGCAGUGGAUACGGGCAGACUAGAGGUAGGUAGGGGAGAAUGGAAUUCCCGGUGUAGCGGUGAAAUGCGCAGAUAUCGGGAGGAACACCGGUGGCGAAGGCGGUUCUCUGGGCCUUACCUGACGCUGAGGAGCGAAAGCGUGGGGAGCGAACAGG